AUUGAACGCUGGCGGCAUGCCUUACACAUGCAAGUCGAACGGCAGCACGGGUGCUUGCACCUGGUGGCGAGUGGCGAACGGGUGAGUAAUAUAUCGGAACGUACCUUAUUGUGGGGGAUAACGCAGCGAAAGCUGUGCUAAUACCGCAUAAUCCCUAAGGGGGAAAGCGGGGGACCGUAAGGCCUCGCGCAAUUAGAGCGGCCGAUACCUGAUUAGCUAGUUGGUGAGGGAAAGGCUAACCAAGGAAACGACCAGUAGCUGGUCUGAGAGGACGAUCAGCCACACUGGGACUGAGACAUGGCCCAGACUCCUACGGGAGGCAGCAGUGGGGAAUUUUGGACAAUGGGGGCAACCCUGAUCCAGCAAUGCCGCGUGAGUGAAGAAGGCCUUCGGGUUGUAAAGCUCUUUUGUCAGGGAAGAAACAGCAGCUCUAACACAGUAUGCGAAUGACGGUACCUGAAGAAUAAGCACCGGCUAACUACGUGCCAGCCGCCGCGGUAA
rnacentral:rRNA from 1 species